UUUAGGUAAGCGAUUAAAUUGCAAUUAGUUACGGCCUAAUUCUAGUACCUAAAAGGUACACCUAAAGGCA
rnacentral:tRNA from 1 species